rnacentral:rRNA from 1 species
CAGUCGCCGCGGUAAUACGAAGGGUGCAAGCGUUACUCGGAAUUACUGGGCGUAAAGCGUGCGUAGGUGGUGGUUUAAGUCCGUUGUGAAAGCCCUGGGCUCAACCUGGGAAUUGCAGUGGAUACUGGGUCACUAGAGUGUGGUAGAGGAUAGUGGAAUUUCCGGUGUAGCAGUGAAAUGCGUAGAGAUCGGAAGGAACAUCUGUGGCGAAGGCGACUAUCUGGGCCAACACUGACACUGAGGCACGAAAGCGUGGGGAGCAAACAGGAUUAGAUACCCCCGUAGUCCCUGUCUCUUAUAU